UACGUAGGGUGCAAGCGUUGUCCGGAAUUAUUGGGCGUAAAGAGCUCGUAGGCGGUUUGUCGCGUCUGCUGUGAAAACGCGGGGCUCAACUCCGCGCCUGCAGUGGGUACGGGCAGACUAGAGUGCAGUAGGGGAGACUGGAAUUCCUGGUGUAGCGGUGGAAUGCGCAGAUAUCAGGAGGAACACCGGUGGCGAAGGCGGGUCUCUGGGCUGUAACCGACGCUGAGGAGCGAAAGCGUGGGUAGCGAACAGG
rnacentral:rRNA from 1 species